GAGGGUGUAGCUCAGUGGUAGAGCACACGCUUUGCAUGUACAAGGUUCUGGGUUCAAUCCCCAGUACCUCCA
rnacentral:tRNA from 1 species